CUUUAAACAAUACUCAUUUUAAAUCUUCAUCGUCAGGCAAGUUUUUCAACCAAUCUAAAUUAGCGCGCGAAUUAUUGACGAUGAAUUUUAUCAUUACCAAUUAAAUAAUUUUGUCGAUGUUAAAAGAAUGGCGACUAAGAAGAAAUAACACUAGUAAUCCAAGCAAAAACCUCACUAGUCUUAGUCGUUAUAUCUUUCUGUAGACCGAUCAUCGAUAAUAAUAAUCAUGCGAUUUUGUACAUACAUAUAGGCGCGAGAAUACGUACCGGAAAUUCAUAAGAACACGUGGUCACUUUGACAACUAUUCCUGAUCUCACGUGAGAGUGCGUUCGUAGUCGUUCAACAGACUAAAAAUCCCCGGGAGUUGUUUAUUGAUCGUUAAAAAUUUGUGCUAUUAUUCAUCGGUUAAAUGCACUAAUAAUUGUGAGAUUUAGUGUAAAUGAAGAUUCAAUGUAUUAAAUAAAUUGAUAUCUAUAACUAUUUAGAUUAAAUAAACUUAAAAGUUAAUAAAAGAUUCACAAUGAUUCGAGAUUUCUUUUUGAUCGGGCGGUUAAUAGACAAUUGAGACUGUGUCGCGUUGUCGAGGCGCAACUCCAACACGUGGGUCGAUCAGCUGAGCAACUACGCUCACUCGAAACUUUAAUGUGAUCAGCAUCGUAGGUUUUUGUAUAGUGUUAUUUUUAUCUCUCAGUAGUGUAUAAUUUCUCAUAUAAUCUCUUUUCUUUAUUUGAUUGAUUUGUUAUUAUAGUAUAAUCUCAUAGUUAUAUCUUUUAUAAAUAAGACUGAAAAAAUAUUAUAUUUAUGAAAAAUAAAUCAUAUAAUUUUUGUAUUUAAAAAUAAAAAUUGUCACAAUUUUAUAAAAUAUCUUUUAUAUUUAUACAUAUAAAAAUAUAAUGAUAUGUAUGUUUAAAUUUUUAUAAAUUUUAAAUAAAUAUAUUUAUAUUUGUUUUUUAUGAAUUUAAAAUAGAAAAA